GGAGAUGAGAAGGGGAAGGGGGGCUGUGGGGGCAGCACAGCUCUUCAUGUGGAUUUGCCCACAUGUAUGUGCACAUCUCUCACCCUCCGCCAAGGUCACGAGAUGUUUAUCAAGGAUCCAGUGUUGGCCACCAUGCUGACCCAGACUCCACUCUCCCUGUCAGUCAGCCCUGGAGAGCCGGCCUCUAUCUCCUGCAGGUCCACUCAGAGCCUCCAAGGUAGUUAUGGAAACAAAUAUUUGAGUUGGUACCAGCAGAAACCAAGACAGUCGCCACAGCUCCUGAUAUUUUAUGCUUCCAACAAGUCUUCUGGGGUGCCAGACAGUGAUACAGCCCUGAACACAAACCCCUCUCCUGGGCGCCCAGCUGCACACAUGUGUGUGCUGUCUGGGGAGCAGAGGGGCAGAAGCUCUGAGUCUGUGUAAGAGGAAGAAGUGGGAGAACCAGGGGCAGAGGGUGCAGCUGAGGACCAUGGACCAGCGCUGCCUCAGCUCCUCCUCAGACACCGCAUGUUAAGACCCGUCAGCUUCCCAGCCUUGGCAUGAUACCCCCUUAGAAACAGGCCAGUGAGAGAAAUUGGCCUGGCCUAUGGGACAACCAAAACUCAGCUGAAUUCCCCUUUUGCAGCUCAGGUGUUCUGCCCGGACCAAGUCAGAACUUUAUCGGACGCAAUUUUGGAAAUAAUAAAGAGUAGCUUACUGUCAGGUAAAAAAAUAAAAGUAGUACAAUGAAAAGCAGAUCUUUAAUUUAGAAUUUUAGGCUAUAGUAUUCUAUUUUCCAUUAAACUCUAAUGCGGUGAAAAUACAAAGUCUCCAAUUUA